rnacentral:rRNA from 1 species
UGCUAUACAUGCAGUCGAACGCGUCUCCGUUGAUGAUUUUAGGUGCUUGCACUUGAAAGAUUUAACAUUGAGACGAGUGGCGAACUGGUGAGUAACACGUGGGUAACCUGCCCUUGAAGUAGGGGAUAACACUUGGAAACAGGUGCUAAUACCGUAUAACAACCAAAACCACCUGGUUUUGGUUUAAAAGACGGCUUCGGCUGUCACUUUAGGAUGGACCCGCGGCGUAUUAGCUUGUUGGUAAGGUAACGGCCUACCAAGGCGAUGAUACGUAGCCGACCUGAGAGGGUAAUCGGCCACAUUGGGACUGAGACACGGCCCAAACUCCUACGGGAGGCAGCAGUAGGGAAUCUUCCACAAUGGACGAAAGUCUGAUGGAGCAACGCCGCGUGAGUGAUGAAGGGUUUCGGCUCGUAAAACUCUGUUGUUGGAGAAGAACAGGUGUCAGAGUAACUGUUGACAUCUUGACGGUAUCCAACCAGAAAGCCACGGCUAACUACGUGCCAGCAGCCGCGGUAAUACGUAGGUGGCAAGCGUUGUCCGGAUUUAUUGGGCGUAAAGCGAGCGCAGGCGGUUUUUUAGGUCUGAUGUGAAAGCCUUCGGCUUAACCGGAGAAGUGCAUCGGAAACCGGGAGACUUGAGUGCAGAAGAGGACAGUGGAACUCCAUGUGUAGCGGUGAAAUGCGUAGAUAUAUGGAAGAACACCAGUGGCGAAGGCGGCUGUCUGGUCUGUAACUGACGCUGAGGCUCGAAAGCAUGGGUAGCGAACAGGAUUAGAUACCCUGGUAGUCCAUGCCGUAAACGAUGAGUGCUAAGUGUUGGAGGGUUUCCGCCCUUCAGUGCUGCAGCUAACGCAUUAAGCACUCCGCCUGGGGAGUACGACCGCAAGGUUGAAACUCAAAGGAAUUGACGGGGGCCCGCACAAGCGGUGGAGCAUGUGGUUUAAUUCGAUGCUACGCGAAGAACCUUACCAGGUCUUGACAUCUUCUGCCAACCUAAGAGAUUAGGCGUUCCCUUCGGGGACAGAAUGACAGGUGGUGCAUGGUUGUCGUCAGCUCGUGUCGUGAGAUGUUGGGUUAAGUCCCGCAACGAGCGCAACCCUUAUUGUUAGUUGCCAGCAUUCAGUUGGGCACUCUAGCAAGACUGCCGGUGACAAACCGGAGGAAGGUGGGGAUGACGUCAAAUCAUCAUGCCCCUUAUGACCUGGGCUACAUGCGUGCUACAAUGGACGGUACAACGAG